UGGGGAAUUUUGGACAAUGGACGCAAGUCUGAUCCAGCCAUGCCGCGUUCGGGAAGAAGGCCUUCGGGUUGUAAACCGCUUUUGUCAGGGAAGAAACGGGUUUCUCUAAUACAGAGACUUAAUGACGGUACCUGAAGAAUAAGCACCGGCUAACUACGUGCCAGCAGCCGCGGUAAUACGUCGGGUGCAAGCGUUAAUCGGAAUUACUGGGCGUAAAGCGUGCGCAGGCGGUUAUGCAAGACAGAUGUGAAAUCCCCGGGCUCAACCUGGGAACUGCCUUUGUGACUGCAUAGCUAGAGUACGGUAAAGGGGGAUGGAAUUCCGCGUGUAGCAGUGAAAUGCGUAGAUAUGCGGAGGAACACCGAUGGCGAAGGCAAUCCCCUGGACCUGUACUGACGCUCAUGCACGAAAGCGUGGGGAGCAAACA
rnacentral:rRNA from 1 species